CCUGGUUGAUCCUACCAGUAGUCAUAUGCUUGUCUCAAAGAUUAAAUCAUGCAUGUGUAAAUAUGAACUAAUUAAGACUAUGAAACUACGAAUGGCUCAUUUAAUCAGUUAUAGUUUGUUUGAUGGUAUCUACUACUCGGAUAACCUUAGUAAUUCUAGAGCUAAUACAUGCAAAAAAAACCCCAACUUCUAGAAGGGAUGCAUUUAUUAGAUAAAUGAUCAACGCAGGCUCUUCCUGUUGCUUUAAUGAUUCAUGAUAACUCGUCGAAUCGCACGGCCUUUGUAUCAGCGACGCAUCAUUCAAAUUUUGGCCCUAUCAACUUUCGAUGGUAGGAUAGUGACCUACCAUGCUGGUGACGGGUGACAGAGAAUUAGGGAUCAAUUCUGGAGAGGGAGCCUGAGAAACGGCUACCACAUCCAAGGAAGCCAGCAUGCGCGCAAAUUACCCAAUCCUGACAUGGGGAGGUAGUGACAAUAAAUAACAAUAUCGGGCUCAUUGAGUCUAGUAAUUGGAAAGAGUACAAUCUAAAUCCCUUAAUGAGGAUCCAUUAGAGGGCAAGUCUGGUGCCAGCAGCCGCAGUAAUUCUAGCUCAAAUAGCAUAUAUUUAAGUUGUUGUAGUUAAAAAUCUCGUAGUUGGACUUUGGGUUGGGUCGAUCGGUCUGCCAUUGGUGUGCACUGGUCGGCUCGGCCCUUCUGCUGGCGAUGUGCUCCUGGCCUUAACUGGUCGGGCUGUUCCUCUAGUGCUGUUACUUUGAAGAAAUUAGAGUGCUCAAAGCAAGCCUAGGCUCUGGAUACAUUAGCAUGGGAUAACACCACAGGAUUCUGAUCUUAUUGUGUCGGCCUUCGGGAUCGAAGUAAUGCGACCCCGUAAAUCUGUUUUACUCCUCAGGGGUGGCUAGAGGUGUUUGGCACCUCGAUCCCCCUCGUGUCAAGAGGUACCACACCCUCUGUGGUGUCCUCCUGGCCUAAUAACAAAAACUCGGCAUGAAACACGCCAUGAAAAUUGAAAUCGUUUAGUUCGCCACCGUCGGCACAGAGACGAUGCUCGUGUGGGCAGCGUUACGACACACUUAUCCUAAAGACUCUAGGCAACGGAUAUCUCAGCUCUUGCAUCAAUGAAGAACGUAGAGAAAUGCGAUACUUAGUGUGAAUUGCAUAAUCCCGUGAACCAUCGAGUCUUUGAACACAAGUUGAACCUGAAGCCAUUAGGUCGAGGGCACGCCUGUCUAGGUGUUGCACAUCGUUGCCCCAUGCCUUGGCCACGUGCUAGGCACCAAGCAGGGCGAAUGUUGGCUUCCCACGAGCAAUAUCCCACGGUUGGUUGAAAACUGAGUCCACGGUGGAGGGCGUCGUGAGGGAUGGUGGCUGAGCUAAAGCUCGACACCAGUCGUAAGUGUCACCCCCACCAUCUUUACGACUCUUUGACCCAUGGGGGUCUGUUGGCCACCUAGUACGGGAACCUCAGGUCAGGCGGGGCUACCCGCUGAGUUUAAGCAUAUCAAUAAGCGGAGGUAAAUAAACUAACUAUGAUUCAUUUAGUAACGACUAGCGAACCGGGAAAA
rnacentral:rRNA from 1 species